rnacentral:rRNA from 1 species
GAGGAAGGUGGGGAUGACGUCAAAUCAUCAUGCCCCUUAUGACCUGGGCCUCACACGUACUACAAUGGCUGUUAACAGAGGGAUGCAAAGCCGCGAGGUGGAGCGAACCCCUAAAAGCAGUCUUAGUUCGGAUUGUAGGCUGCAACCCGCCUACAUGAAGUCGGAAUUGCUAGUAAUCGCAGAUCAGCAUGCUGCGGUGAAUACGUUCCCGGGCCUUGUACACACCGCCCGUCACGCCAUGGGAGUCGGUAACACCGAAGCCUGUAGUCUAACCGCAAGGAGGACGCAGUCGAAGGUGGGAUUGAUGACUGGGGUGAAGUCGUAACAAGGUA